UACGGAGGAGGCAAGCGUUAUCCGGAAUUAUUGGGCGUAAAGCGUCCGUAGAUGGUCGUUUCAAGUCUGCUGUCAAAGACCGGGGCUUAACCCCAGAAAGGCGGUGGAAACUGAACAGCUAGAGAGAGGUAGGGGUAGAGGGAAUUCCCAGUGUAGCGGUGAAAUGCGUAGAUAUUGGGAAGAACAUCGGUGGCGAAGGCGCCCUGCUGGACCAUAACUGACACUCAGGGACGAAAGCUAGGGGAGCGAAUGGG
rnacentral:rRNA from 1 species